UGAAUAGUGUGCCAUGCCCAUGCAUACUAUACAAAAUAUAAAGACACACCGAUACCUCAGUGCUUACACCUUCACUUAUAAAUGUGAUAAAAAACCUUCGACUCUUAUGUUUUCAUUACAAAGCAAGGCGCGAGUGCACGUGAGAAUGCUACCAAACAAAAGCUAAUGAGCGUUUUCAUAAGAAAUAUAGUUGAUUGUAAAGCAGCAGCAGCAAUGUCAGCAUAUGUGGCUCAAGAAGAAGAUAUAUACACCAAAGACGGAACAACUGAUUAUCGCCAUAAACCUGCUGUCAAAAGCAAAACCGGAACCUGGAAAGCAUGCCCUUACAUCCUAGCUUGAGUUUUUCUAUGAGCAGAUGAUGCCAUGAGGAGUCUCUGCUCAGCGUUGUCGCUCACCACGGCUGCACUAGGAAAUUAUUUGAGCACUUCUCUCGUCAACAUGGUGACAGAUGUGAGCACAAGAAAUGGUGGUAAAGGCUGGAUUCCUGAUAUUCUGAAUUAUGGUCAUUUGGAUUACUUCUUCUGGAUGUUGGCUUUGUCAAGUGUGAUGAAUUUGGGAGUUUAUGUGUUAGUGGCCAAGUGUUACACUUACACGAAGCCUGUUGAUCCAAUAUCUCAAGAUUGAUCGGGUUUAUAUUAAAUUUGGUUUUGAUGUUU